rnacentral:rRNA from 1 species
UCACACUAUCAUUAACUGAAUCCAUAGGUUAAUGAGGCGAACCGGGGGAACUGAAACAUCUAAGUACCCCGAGGAAAAGAAAUCAACCGAGAUUCCCCCAGUAGCGGCGAGCGAACGGGGAGGAGCCCAGAGCCUGAAUCAGCAUGUGUGUUAGUGGAAGCGUCUGGAAAGGCGCGCGAUACAGGGUGACAGCCCCGUACACAAAAGCGCAUGUGCUGUGAGCUCGAUGAGUAGGGCGGGACACGUGGUAUCCUGUCUGAAUAUGGGGGGACCAUCCUCCAAGGCUAAAUACUCCUGACUGACCGAUAGUGAACCAGUACCGUGAGGGAAAGGCGAAAAGAACCCCGGCGAGGGGAGUGAAAAAGAACCUGAAACCGUGUACGUACAAGCAGUGGGAGCCCCACCACCAAAGCAUUUGCUGUACCGCGUUGACGGAGCGAAGCGACGUCAAACCGAUAAAACAGCAGUGUAAAGUGAGCCGCAGGGCGCUUUGCGCGACAGCGCAAAGGCAGGCGGUUUCGCGUAGCGAAAGCGAAUGCUUUGGGGUGGGGUGACUGCGUACCUUUUGUAUAAUGGGUCAGCGACUUAUAUUCUGUAGCAAGGUUAACCGAAUAGGGGAGCCGGAGGGAAACCGAGUCUUAAUUGGGCGUUAAGUUGCAGGGUAUAGACCCGAAACCCGGUGAUCUAGCCAUGGGCAGGUUGAAGGUUGGGUAACACUAACUGGAGGACCGAACCGACUAAUGUUGAAAAAUUAGCGGAUGACCUGUGGCUGGGGGUGAAAGGCCAAUCAAACCGGGAGAUAGCUGGUUCUCCCCGAAAGCUAUUUAGGUAGCGCCUCGUGAAUUCAUCUCCGGGGGUAGAGCACUGUUUCGGCUAGGGGGCCAUCCCGGCUUACCAACCCGAUGCAAACUGCGAAUACCGGAGAAUGUUAUCACGGGAGACACACGGCGGGUGCUAACGUCCGUCGUGAAGAGGGAAACAACCCAGACCGCCAGCUAAGGUCCCAAAGUCAUGGUUAAGUGGGAAACGAUGUGGGAAGGCCCAGACAGCCAGGAUGUUGGCUUAGAAGCAGCCAUCAUUUAAAGAAAGCGUAAUAGCUCACUGGUCGAGUCGGCCUGCGCGGAAGAUGUAACGGGGCUAAACCAUGCACCGAAGCUGCGGCAGCGACACUGUGUGUUGUUGGGUAGGGGAGCGUUCUGUAAGCCUGUGAAGGUGUGUCGUGAGGCAUGCUGGAGGUAUCAGAAGUGCGAAUGCUGACAUAAGUAACGAUAAAGCGGGUGAAAAGCCCGCUCGCCGGAAGACCAAGGGUUCCUGUCCAACGUUAAUCGGGGCAGGGUGAGUCGACCCCUAAGGCGAGGCCGAAAGGCGUAGUCGAUGGGAAACGGGUUAAUAUUCCCGUACUUGGUGUUACUGCGAAGGGGGGACGGAGAAGGCUAUGUUGGCCGGGCGACGGUUGUCCCGGUUUAAGCGUGUAGGUGUGUGUUCCAGGUAAAUCCGGUUCACUUUAACACUGAGGCGUGACGACGAGGCACUACGGUGCUGAAGCAACAAAUGCCCUGCUUCCAGGAAAAGCCUCUAAGCAUCAGGUAACAUCAAAUCGUACCCCAAACCGACACAGGUGGUCAGGUAGAGAAUACCAAGGCGCUUGAGAGAACUCGGGUGAAGGAACUAGGCAAAAUGGUGCCGUAACUUCGGGAGAAGGCACGCUGACACGUAGGUGAAGUGAUUUACUCAUGGAGCUGAAGUCAGUCGAAGAUACCAGCUGGCUGCAACUGUUUAUUAAAAACACAGCACUGUGCAAACACGAAAGUGGACGUAUACGGUGUGACGCCUGCCCGGUGCCGGAAGGUUAAUUGAUGGGGUCAGCGCAAGCGAAGCUCCUGAUCGAAGCCCCGGUAAACGGCGGCCGUAACUAUAACGGUCCUAAGGUAGCGAAAUUCCUUGUCGGGUAAGUUCCGACCUGCACGAAUGGCGUAAUGAUGGCCAGGCUGUCUCCACCCGAGACUCAGUGAAAUUGAACUCGCUGUGAAGAUGCAGUGUACCCGCGGCAAGACGGAAAGACCCCGUGAACCUUUACUAUAGCUUGACACUGAACAUUGAGCCUUGAUGUGUAGGAUAGGUGGGAGGCUUUGAAGUGUGGACGCCAGUCUGCAUGGAGCCGACCUUGAAAUACCACCCUUUAAUGUUUGAUGUUCUAACGUGGACCCGUUACCCGGGUUGCGGACAGUGUCUGGUGGGUAGUUUGACUGGGGCGGUCUCCUCCUAAAGAGUAACGGAGGAGCACGAAGGUUGGCUAAUCCUGGUCGGACAUCAGGAGGUUAGUGCAAUGGCAUAAGCCAGCUUGACUGCGAGCGUGACGGCGCGAGCAGGUGCGAAAGCAGGUCAUAGUGAUCCGGUGGUUCUGAAUGGAAGGGCCAUCGCUCAACGGAUAAAAGGUACUCCGGGGAUAACAGGCUGAUACCGCCCAAGAGUUCAUAUCGACGGCGGUGUUUGGCACCUCGAUGUCGGCUCAUCACAUCCUGGGGCUGAAGUAGGUCCCAAGGGUAUGGCUGUUCGCCAUUUAAAGUGGUACGCGAGCUGGGUUUAGAACGUCGUGAGACAGUUCGGUCCCUAUCUGCCGUGGGCGCUGGAGAACUGAGGGGGGCUGCUCCUAGUACGAGAGGACCGGAGUGGACGCAUCACUGGUGUUCGGGUUGUCAUGCCAAUGGCACUGCCCGGUAGCUAAAUGCGGAAGAGAUAAGUGCUGAAAGCAUCUAAGCACGAAACUUGCCCCGAGAUGAGUUCUCC